UGAGGAAUAUUGGUCAAUGGGGGCAACCCUGAACCAGCCAAGUCGCGUGAAGGAUGAAGGUCUUAUGGAUUGUAAACUUCUUUUACACGGGAAUAAAGUGGGGGACGUGUCCCCCUUUGCAUGUACCGUGUGAAUAAGGAUCGGCUAACUCCGUCCCAGCAGCCGCGGUAAUACGGAGGAUCCGAGCGUUAUCCGGAUUUAUUGGGUUUAAAGGGUGCGCAGGAGGGAUGUUAAGUCGGCGGUGAAAUUUUGCAGCUCAACUGUAAAAGUGCCUUCGAUACUGGCCUCCUUGAGUGUGGAUGAAGUAGGCGGAAUUUGUGGUGUAGCUGUGAAAUGCUUAGAUAUCACGAGGAACUCCGAUUGCGCAGGCAGCUUACUAAGCCACAACUGACGCUCAUGCACGAAGGCGUGGGGA
rnacentral:rRNA from 1 species